GGACGAACGCUGGCGGCGUGCCUAAUACAUGCAAGUCGAACGAACUCUGGUAUUGAUUGGUGCUUGCAUCAUGAUUUACAUUUGAGUGAGUGGCGAACUGGUGAGUAACACGUGGGAAACCUGCCCAGAAGCGGGGGAUAACACCUGGAAACAGAUGCUAAUACCGCAUAACAACUUGGACCGCAUGGUCCGAGCUUGAAAGAUGGCUUCGGCUAUCACUUUUGGAUGGUCCCGCGGCGUAUUAGCUAGAUGGUGGGGUAACGGCUCACCAUGGCAAUGAUACGUAGCCGACCUGAGAGGGUAAUCGGCCACAUUGGGACUGAGACACGGCCCAAACUCCUACGGGAGGCAGCAGUAGGGAAUCUUCCACAAUGGACGAAAGUCUGAUGGAGCAACGCCGCGUGAGUGAAGAAGGGUUUCGGCUCGUAAAACUCUGUUGUUAAAGAAGAACAUAUCUGAGAGUAACUGUUCAGGUAUUGACGGUAUUUAACCAGAAAGCCACGGCUAACUACGUGCCAGCAGCCGCGGUAAUACGUAGGUGGCAAGCGUUGUCCGGAUUUAUUGGGCGUAAAGCGAGCGCAGGCGGUUUUUUAAGUCUGAUGUGAAAGCCUUCGGCUCAACCGAAGAAGUGCAUCGGAAACUGGGAAACUUGAGUGCAGAAGAGGACAGUGGAACUCCAUGUGUAGCGGUGAAAUGCGUAGAUAUAUGGAAGAACACCAGUGGCGAAGGCGGCUGUCUGGUCUGUAACUGACGCUGAGGCUCGAAAGUAU
rnacentral:rRNA from 2 species